UUGUCCCCAAGCAGGUGAAGUCCUUUUAAUAAGGCAAUUGGUAGAUAUAAGAGAUAUGUAGCCUAUCUCCUACUACUCUGUGAGUCACUCACCUUGCUCACACUACUUGUGUUGAUGCAUAGUGAGUAAAAGCCCAAAAUCUAUCGAGUCUAACUUGUGGAGAGAGUUCCCCCUUUCUGAACUCCCACACCUUCUGAUAUUCAAUGCUCUCCCUGACCAGGGAUAAGAGUGAUGAGGCACACCCCUCAUAUCCUUUCAUCUGCUUAAACUUGUGGAGAGAGUUCCCCCUUUCUGAACUCCCACACCUUCUGAUAUUCAAUGCUCUCCCUGACCAGGG
rnacentral:lncRNA from 1 species